rnacentral:rRNA from 1 species
UGGGGAAUCUUGCACAAUGGGCGAAAGCCUGAUGCAGCCAUGCCGCGUGUGUGAAGAAGGCCCUAGGGUUGUAAAGCACUUUCAGUGGUGAAGAUAAUGACGGUAACCACAGAAGAAGCCCCGGCUAACUCCGUGCCAGCAGCCGCGGUAAUACGGAGGGGGCUAGCGUUGUCCGGAAUUACUGGGCGUAAAGCGCUCGUAGGCGGAUUGACCAGUCAGAGGUGAAAGCCCGGGGCUCAACUCCGGAAUUGCCUUUGAUACUGUCAGUCUAGAGUCCGAGAGAGGUGAGUGGAAUUCCUAGUGUAGAGGUGAAAUUCGUAGAUAUUAGGAAGAACACCAGUGGCGAAGGCGGCUCACUGGCUCGGUACUGACGCUGAGGAGCGAAAGCGUGGGGAGCAAACAGGAUUAGAUACCCCCGUAGUCC